rnacentral:rRNA from 1 species
GACGAACGCUGGCGGCGUGCUUAACACAUGCAAGUCGAACGGAAAGGCCCUGCUUUUGUGGGGUGCUCGAGUGGCGAACGGGUGAGUAACACGUGAGUAACCUGCCCUUGACUUUGGGAUAACUUCAGGAAACUGGGGCUAAUACCGGAUAGGAGCUCCUGCUGCAUGGUGGGGGUUGGAAAGUUUCGGCGGUUGGGGAUGGACUCGCGGCUUAUCAGCUUGUUGGUGGGGUAGUGGCUUACCAAGGCUUUGACGGGUAGCCGGCCUGAGAGGGUGACCGGGCACAUGGGGACUAAGAUACGGCCCAGACGCGUACGGGAGGCAGCAGUGGGGAAUAUUGCACAAUGGGCGGAAGCCUGAUGCAGCGACGCCGCGUGCGGGAUGACGGCCUUCGGGUUGUAAACCGCUUUCGCCUGUGACGAAGCGUGAGUGACGGUAAUGGGUAAAGAAGCACCGGCUAACUACGUG